CUACGUGCCAGCAGCCGCGGUAAUACGUAGGGUGCGAGCGUUAAUCGGAAUUACUGGGCGUAAAGCGAGCSCAGACGGUUACUUAAGCAGGAUGUGAAAUCCCCGGGCUCAACCUGGGAACUGCGUUCUGAACUGGGUGACUAGAGUGUGUCAGAGGGAGGUAGAAUUCCACGUGUASCAGUGAAAUGCGUAGAGAUGUGGAGGAAUACCGAUGGCGAAGGCAGCCUCCUGGGAUAACACUGACGUUCAUGCUCGAAAGCGUGGGUAGCAAACAGGAUUAGAUACCCUGGUAGUCCACGCCCUAAACGAUGUCAAUUAGCUGUUGGGCAACUUGAUUGCUUAGUAGCGUAGCUAACGCGUGAAAUUGACCGCCUGGGGAGUACGGUCGCAAGAUUAAAACUCAAAGGAAUUGACGGGGACCCGCACAAGCGGUGGAUGAUGUGGAUUAAUUCGGUGCAACGCGAAGAACCUUACCUGG
rnacentral:rRNA from 1 species